rnacentral:snoRNA from 1 species
GGAUAAAUGGUGACUUCAAAAAUGGACCUCAGUGGAAUCUGAACAAAAUGAGUGACAAAAUCGCUUAUGUGAGCUGAGGUCC